GCUGAGUGGGGUAGAUAUUUCCCUGGCCCGUCUACCACUGAUGAGGGUCGACCGACCCGAGAUUUAUUUAGUGGGCACCGACUGAGUUAUGGCAGCUCUUCACAUGCGCAGGCUUCAUGUGAUGCUGCGACAGAUGACUACAUUCAGGAUCCAGACACGAUUAUGCAUUCUACUGGACCUGACAGCACCAUCGAUACAUGUCAUCC